rnacentral:rRNA from 1 species
GUGAUGCCCUUAGAUGUUCUGGGCUGCACGCGCGCUACAAUGAUGCACACAGCGUGGUUUACUUAGCCGAGAGGCUUGGAUUCUCUUGUAAUGUGCAUCGUGAUGGGGAUAGAUCAUUGUAAUUAUUGAUCUUGAACGAGGAAUGCCUAGUAAGCGCGAGUCAUCAGCUCGCGCUGAUUUCGUCCCUGCCCUUUGUACACACCGCCCGUCGCUCCUACCGAUUGGAUGGUCCGGUGAAAUGUUCGGAUUUAUGCUCUAGGCUCGGCUGAGUUUUCGUAGCAUACAAAAAGUUCAUUGAGCCUUAUCAUCUAGAGGAAGGAGAAGUCGUAACAAGGUUUCCGUAGG